rnacentral:rRNA from 1 species
GUGUCAGCAGCCGCGGUAAUACGUAGGGUGCGAGCGUUAAUCGGAAUUACUGGGCGUAAAGCGUGCGUAGGCGGUUGCAUAAGCUUGAUGUGAAAGCCCCGGGCUUAACCUGGGAAUGGCAUUGAGGACUGUGCGGCUUGAGUGCGGCAGAGGGAGGUGGAAUUCCAGGUGUAGCAGUGAAAUGCGUAGAGAUCUGGAGGAACACCGAUGGCGAAGGCAGCCUCCUGGGCCGACACUGACGCUGAGGGCACGAAAGCGUGGGGAGCAAACAGGAUUAGAUACCCUGGUAGUCCACGCCCUAAACGAUGUCAACUGGUUGUUGGGGAAGGCAACUUCCUUAGUAACGAAGCUAACGCGUGAAGUUGACCGCCUGGGGAGUACGGCCGCAAGGUUAAA